CUGGCGGCAGGCCUAACACAUGCAAGUCGAGCGCACCUUCGGGUGAGCGGCGGACGGGUUAGUAACGCGUGGGAACAUACCCUUUUCUACGGAAUAGCCUCGGGAAACUGAGAGUAAUACCGUAUAAGCCCUUCGGGGGAAAGAUUUAUCGGGAAAGGAUUGGCCCGCGUUAGAUUAGAUAGUUGGUGGGGUAAUGGCCUACCAAGUCUACGAUCUAUAGCUGGUUUUAGAGGAUGAUCAGCAACACUGGGACUGAGACACGGCCCAGACUCCUACGGGAGGCAGCAGUGGGGAAUCUUAGACAAUGGGCGCAAGCCUGAUCUAGCCAUGCCGCGUGUGUGAUGAAGGUCUUAGGAUCGUAAAGCACUUUCGCCAGGGAUGAUAAUGACAGUACCUGGUAAAGAAACCCCGGCUAACUCCGUGCCAGCAGCCGCGGUAAUACGGAGGGGGUUAGCGUUGUUCGGAAUUACUGGGCGUAAAGCGUACGUAGGCGGAUUGGAAAGUUGGGGGUGAAAUCCCAGGGCUCAACCCUGGAACUGCCUCCAAAACUAUCAGUCUAGAGUUCGAGAGAGGUGAGUGGAAUUCCAAGUGUAGAGGUAAAAUU
rnacentral:rRNA from 1 species